GUUGCUAGACAACAAAUGGCAAUCUACUACUGAAGUCUGGUGGAUUUUUGCAAAAAGAACACUCAGAUUCAUCAUCAGCUAAGUUGGGAAGGAAAAAAAUGACUUUAAAAACGAAACCCAAACAAAUCCCUGCUGUCUUCUUUUCCUUACAGGUUCAGCUGACACUGUCUUUGUGCCCACAGCUCAGCUUUCACGGUACGCUGGCUGGCACUGGCCAGGAGUUGCGCAGGCCCAGGUCCUCAUGAGCAGUACCGCUCUCCUCCUCUCAGAGCCCCUGUGCUUCCCUUGAAAGGCUGUCUCUUCGGUCCUGGUGCCACAGCACAGGAUCUGGAGCACCCGGUGCUUGGCAGGCAGCAAGUUCCCGACAACUGUGAGCUGUUCACACUGAGACAUCUGCCACAUGAGCCACCCCUGAGACAAUGCCAUAUUGUAUGAAGGAAAGCACACCGCCCUUGGCUUCCUAGCCAGAGCCCCCAAAGAAUGGAAUGACUCACACCACAGGGAGCAAAGGCGCCAGAACAUUCUGUCAAAUGACCUACACUACAAAGAAAACAAGUCCUCAAGUGCAUUUUUCGUGUGAAGAAAUCUUAUGAAUAUUAGGGCAAGAAUGCCUUAAAGCUUUAGAGCUUAAUUAAAAAUGUACAUUUUUGUCUUCUGGCCUUUUCUCACCUCAGGCAUGGAACCUCAAGCCUCUGGCUAUGCGGAGACUUCGUUAAGUCUUCCCAAGAACACAGACAACUCUGGAGCCAGCCAGCAUCAGAUCCAACCUGUGGCAGCUGCUCAACAAGUUCCUGUUACUGAGUGAACUCCCAAGCGAGAGUGACACCCGACACACAGGGCCACCAGCUCUGAUACUGCAGCCCAGCAGGCAGCAGUGUGCAGGGCUCUCUGUGAUGCCUGGCAGCGGAGAUGAAGGUCUCAAGCAAGCAAGCAGUGAAGGCCACAAAGGGCCCAGAGUAAUCCAGACUUACUGAAGCUCAAGUCUGUACAGGGACUGUUCCUUCUGCGGCCUGCACAGCCCUGGCCCUCCUCACUGUUUCCAUAGAAGCACCAGAACCAAGUUUACUUAAUUGUUCCAGGUGAGAGAAAAGGCUUGAUUUUACUACACAUUUUUUUUUAAUCUUUUUGAGACAGGGAGUCAUGUGGCCUAAAAUCCCAAAUACUGUAUGUAACCAAAGCUGACCUUGAACUCCUGCUUCUCUAGCCUCUGCCCCCAAGUGCUGGGUUUAUGGGCAUGUAUUACCACGCCCAGUUUAUGUGAUACUAGGAAUCAAAUCCAGGGUUUUGUACAUGCUAGGCAAGCACUUUUAACAACUGAGCCAAGUCUUCAGCCCCCAUACAUUUUUAUAAUACCCAAGUCAAGUUGCUCAAAUUGUCAUUUAGAAAUCUGCAAUAAGUUUCAACAUGUAUUAACCUCAAACAUUCUUCUGUCAUGCUUUAAAAAUAUCAAUUGCU